UUGACGCUGGCGGCAGGCCUAACACAUGCAAGUCGAGCGGUAGAGAGAAGCUUGCUUCUCUUGAGAGCGGCGGACGGGUGAGUAAUGCCUAGGAAUCUGCCUGGUAGUGGGGGAUAACGUCCGGAAACGGACGCUAAUACCGCAUACGUCCUACGGGAGAAAGCAGGGGACCUUCGGGCCUUGCGCUAUCAGAUGAGCCUAGGUCGGAUUAGCUAGUUGGUGAGGUAAUGGCUCACCAAGGCGACGAUCCGUAACUGGUCUGAGAGGAUGAUCAGUCACACUGGAACUGAGACACGGUCCAGACUCCUACGGGAGGCAGCAGUGGGGAAUAUUGGACAAUGGGCGAAAGCCUGAUCCAGCCAUGCCGCGUGUGUGAAGAAGGUCUUCGGAUUGUAAAGCACUUUAAGUUGGGAGGAAGGGCAGUAAGCUAAUACCUUGCUGUUUUGACGUUACCGACAGAAUAAGCACCGGCUAACUCUGUGCCAGCAGCCGCGGUAAUACAGAGGGUGCAAGCGUUAAUUCGGAAUUACUGGGCGUAAAGCGCGCGUAGGUGGUUUGUUAAGUUGGAUGUGA
rnacentral:rRNA from 1 species